rnacentral:rRNA from 1 species
AGAGUUUGAUCCUGGCUCAGAUUGAACGCUGGCGGCAUGCCUUACACAUGCAAGUCGAACGGUAACAGGUCUUCGGAUGCUGACGAGUGGCGAACGGGUGAGUAAUACAUCGGAACGUGCCCGAGAGUGGGGGAUAACGGAGCGAAAGCUUUGCUAAUACCGCAUACGAUCUACGGAUGAAAGCAGGGGACCGCAAGGCCUUGCGCUCAUGGAGCGGCCGAUGGCAGAUUAGGUAGUUGGUGGGAUAAAAGCUUACCAAGCCGACGAUCUGUAGCUGGUCUGAGAGGACGACCAGCCACACUGGGACUGAGACACGGCCCAGACUCCUACGGGAGGCAGCAGUGGGGAAUUUUGGACAAUGGGCGCAAGCCUGAUCCAGCCAUGCCGCGUGCAGGAUGAAGGCCUUCGGGUUGUAAACUGCUUUUGUACGGAACGAAAAGACUCCUUCWAAUAAAGGGGGUYCAUGACGGUACCGUAAGAAUAAGCACCGGCUAACUACGUGCCAGCAGCCGCGGUAAUA